rnacentral:rRNA from 1 species
CAGCAGCCACGGUAAUACGUAUGUCACAAGCGUUAUCCGGAUUUAUUGGGCGUAAAGCGCGUCUAGGUGGUUAUGUAAGUCUGAUGUGAAAAUGCAGAGCUCAACUCUGUAUUGCGUUGGAAACUGUGUAACUAGAGUACUGGAGAGGUAAGCGGAACUACAAGUGUAGAGGUGAAAUUCGUAGAUAUUUGUAGGAAUGCCGAUGGGGAAGCCAGCUUACUGGACAGAUACUGACGCUGAAGCGCGAAAGCGUGGGUAGCAAACAGGAUUAGAGACCCCAGUAGUCCCUGUCUCUUAUACA